rnacentral:rRNA from 1 species
UACGUAGGGCGCAAGCGUUGUCCGGAAUUAUUGGGCGUAAAGAGCUCGUAGGCGGCUUGUCACGUCGGGUGUGAAAGCCCGGGGCUUAACCCCGGGUCUGCAUUCGAUACGGGCUAGCUAGAGUGUGGUAGGGGAGAUCGGAAUUCCUGGUGUAGCGGUGAAAUGCGCAGAUAUCAGGAGGAACACCGGUGGCGAAGGAGGAUCUCUGGGCCAUUACUGACGCUGAGGAGCGAAAGCGUGGGGAGCGAACAGG